AUUAGUAACCUAUUAAAUAAAAUGAAAUGAUUUUCCAAAAAGGAUUUAAUAAAAGCGAGUAUUUUUUUUUUUCGUUUGCUUUCUUCUCAAAACAUUUCCAAAACCUAAUAUGCAUACUCUUACAUAAACCCUUACAUCCGGCCUUGUCAAGGCAAGCACCCGUGAGUGACGACGGAUGUUCAAGACAUAUAAAAUAUACAAUGAAGUAAUGUCUUAACCAACGACAAAGUUCAGAAUGUGAUAACACCCUAAGUCCAAUAUACUUCCUACAAUCCCCUCACUAGAGAUUCGCAGGAGAGCAAUGCAUCGGAACAUACCCAAGACCUAAGUAAGUAAUACAAUCAUCCUUACGAGCUUCAACCAAUGACGGUAAGCUUCUCUACCCAAGGCUCUAGCCUUACAUCUAACUAUUACUUCUACAAAUCUUCGGUUGGUUCACUCGCUCCAAGCAAGUCUUCUCGUCAAUUUGUCAAAUCACCUUCUUGCAGCAAUAACCAGCUCCUCAGAGACACACCUGUUAGGGCCUGGCAGUUUGCCGACCGCCCAAACACAAACAAAGCAAACAAGGCAGAAAGGGUCAACUUCCUAGAGUAAUGUAAUAUAAGUCCUAGCUUGAUUUAGCAUAGUUAAGUAGCGUGUGAAUAAUAAUUAGACACAACAUAAGUCAAUCUCUAUCAUUUGAACGUCAAGUCAUCAAUCCAUCACUCGUCGUCAACGCAUAGAUGUAUCAUCAUUUCCUUGCCAGGGCAGCAUCACAUCUCACUAAUGGAAACGCACGACUCAGUGGUCAAUCAUCUAGCACGAUGAGCUCUAUACUCUCUAAUCAACAAACAGAUAACAGGAUCAAGGACUAGCCCCUUAAUCGAUCCAAGUAAUAGGAGUUAAGGUCUAACCUCUUAAGCAAAUAACAAAUAGUAGGACUAAGGUCAAGCCUCUAAAUCAACUAACACAUAAUAGGAUUAAGGUCCAGCCACUUUAAUCCAAGGACAAAUAAUAUGAUUAAGGUCCAACCACUUUAAUCAAAUAGCAAAAAUAGGAUUAAGGUCCAGCCACUUUAAUCCACAAGCAAUAAAUAGGAUUAAGGUCCAUCCUCUUUAAUCCAUAAGCAAAUAAUAGGAUCAAGGUCCAUCCUCUUUAACCCAAUAUCGAAUAUUAUGAUUAAGGUCAUACCACUUAAUCAAAGAGUAAUUAAUAGGAUUAAGGUCCAGCCACUCUAAUCCAGAGGUAAAUAAUAUGAUUAAUGGCAAACCUCUUAAUCAGAGAAUAAUUAAUUGGAUUAAGGACAAGCCCCUUAAUCAAGUCAUGCAAGUAUGCAAGAGCUAGCAAACCACGAUUCGUCCUCACCCGGAUACGUGUCUAGCUAUGGUUCAUGUCUCUAUCAUUUUUCCUUAAGGUAAACGUCGGUCCUUUGACCAAUCACUUCACACAAGGAGUAGGACCUGCACUUAAUGGCGGUUCUACUCAUAACGGCUCCUCUUCAUGAUGUUCACAACUCGAAUCAUUAUCUUUCCUCGAACCUCAAAUAUUCGACCCUUCCCAUUUUCGAAAUCAUUUCAUAUCCUAAGUUUUCCUCAAAAGGGGUCAUCUUCAUUAUUCAAAGUGUUCUAAUUUGAGUUAAUUCAUUAUGGAAUUUAUUCUCAAACAAAGUCUUAUGCAUUCAUUUAUUUCAAAGUCUAACAGAUUAAAGAUCCCCAAUGUCCAGGUUUAGGCGAAAGCCUCGAUCCUCCGUGUCAACAGUAGCACAGUCCUUCCGACAGAUCCUACUUGCUAACUCUCGUAACACUCCGCAUUCGAAGUCGAUAUAUCCAUAAGGUUUGGGCAUAAAACAAGAUUCAUGCACUUUUGCAAUUAAAAGGAAUAGAACAGGUCUAUCCACUAUAAAACAAUAAGACGAAAACCAGUAAACGGCCGAAGCCUCCAGAAAACGGAGACGCACGUCUCAAUCAGUUCACACGGCCGAAGCCUCCAGAAAACGUUUUCCCAGUCCAGUCCAACAGUCAUAAUCAAAAGCAAUAAACAGGUCGAAGUUAUCGACGCCUAAAUCAAGUUUUGUACAAAAACACUUUAUUCGCUAAAACGUGCAUAACUCGAGCUACAGAACUCGGAAUGACACGAAACCGGAGCCAAAAUUUCCACAAUUGAAAGAGCUACGCAAUGGCUCAGGUCAUAGAGACCCAAAAAUUAUUUUUGGACACGGUACCCAAGCAAAUAGGUUUCGGCCACUAUGGAAAAUAAGGUUUUCGAACUUUUUCUUCGAUCUAAAUCAAUUCCUAGGUAUUCUUAGGCGAUAUCUAAGCCAGGGAAACUCUCAGAAAAAUUAUCGGGUCGAAAACUGUCGCAGGGGUAUUUUGGUCAAUAUUUUUAGCUCGGAAAAUCAAAAUUUGAAUUUUGAAAAACUAAUCGGAUGGAAAUGUCACUAACGACGUUUAUGACAACUAAUCCUACUGACACUAAGCUAAGUCGUGAGUUCUAAACCGAAAGGAUGAGACUUUGCCCCAAAAAUGGGUAUUUGAGGUAAAAAUUGAUUCCGGCGGAAUUUCGGCGACAGAAUGAAAAAUGUAAUCCGACAUAACUACUCUUGGGCACGUAGGGAAGAUGUUUAGACAGAGAAAUCAAGCUAUUUGGACAAUUUUACAAAAAGCUCCAAACUUUGAGCUCAGAAAAACAUAGAAAAAGUCGACAGAUCUGACGAUCAGAAGUGAGGGAUAGUAACUAUACCUCGAUGUCUUCGAUUAGCAACGAACGGCGGAACGAUCGGGCAAGAAACGGCGAAAAUCUUCUUCUCCUCUCCUCCUCCUCAAGCUCUCGGCCUAUCUCUCUCAAAGGUGGGGUAUUUUUUUGUUUUUGUUUUUUUUUUUUCAUUUUCCACCUAUUUAGAGGAUUUGGAAAAUGCGAAAAAAUGAUUAUUUCGCGAUUCCGAUUUUUCCUACUGAUUCCAACUUAUUUUAGACACGAUAUUCUUCCCGCUGAAUCUUCUAAUUCUUCAAAGAAAUAUCAGUAUGAUUUUUGGUUUUCGAGGCUUGUUUUUAAUGCUUACCGGCAUUAAAAAUGCACUUUAUGCACUUUAUGAUAUUGACCUCGGAUGCAGAAACUUCCUUCUGAAGAAAGAUUGGAAACAUCAAGAGAAAUGGGUGAACGCAUGUGGAAUCUUCGUUUGAAGCUCCGAAUAGAAAAAGUCUUCAUCGUCCGUAGAUUUUAGGGUUUCUGAACUAUCAGGGAUUCCGUUUCGGCAAACUUCCGAGAAUUGGAAUUUGACGUUCGUACAUUCUAGGGUUUUGUAUCGAAACGCUUGUUUAUAAAUGAAUAAGAGAAGUUCUAACAUUUCUCUGAAGAUUUUUGGAAUUAAUUUCCAUCGUGUCCUAAAGUGUAAAUUAGCUAUUUACUAGUGUCCUUGACCUAGGCUUAGGCGAAUAUUAGUCGUGCUAUAACUCUUAUCGGUUUUGAUACAAUCCUUGAACUUUUCCUGAACCUUCUCCUUCAUAAAUCUAUUUCAUCCAAUAAACUCUCGUUCAGGUUUCCCUUCACGAUACAUCGAACUUAUUCGUUAAUAAGGAAUUUCACUAAUUUAUUCUAAGCUUAAAAUCUUGGGUCUCACAUUACUAUCCUCCAAAAAGAAAGUUUCGACCUCGAAACUUACGCUUCAGUAAAGAUUCCGGAUAUUAUUCCUUGAUCUCUUCCUUAAGUUCCCAUGUAGCAUCGCCUAUGUCCUUGUUCCAAAUGGCUUCCUCCGGGCUAAACCCUUCGUCACGCAUGACAAGUCGUCCUUCAGCUCGAUGUUGUCCGACUCCAUCAUACCUUCUCAAGAAUCUUGUUUCCCAAGCAUUUGUUUCCAAAGUCCAAUACCAGCCAUGAUUCCAAAAACCAUUCCCCAAUAUAAAGCUGAUCAGACUUAUUAUCAAGAAGAUGAGAGUUUGAAAAAUUUACUGAUACGGCCAAUGAAUCAUUUCCACCAUGACAGCUUCAACAUCUGCACUUGCUGAAGUGUUUCAAAGACCGGUCGUUACCAUCCAACAACCAGCAAGAUACGAUUGAGGUCUAUCCUCUCAAUCGAUUUACACACGCGGUAUAGGUCCAUCCACCAAACCGACAAUAGGCACAGUUAGGGUCCAUCCUCCCCAAAGGCCAACAAAAUACAAUUUAAACAAGUGUCAUGCCCAUACUGAAACACACUGAUCAGCGUCCCGCCCAGGUGAUCCAGAUGCAACAUCACAAACUCAGACACAGGAAAACAAUGGACUUCGAGUUCAAGGAUUCAUUCCACCUAUUGACUCGUACGGUGGCCCAAUCCACCACCUCGCCCGCUCGAUGAUACCUGCCACCAACGAAAUUGUCCGAUUUGUGGUACUAACACCGUAUAAGAUCGUUGGUUCCAGCCAACCAAAUCCUGCUUUUCCUGAUGGUCAUCCACCAUCUCGUUCUGAACAAUGGCCCCAUCCACCAUUCUUGUUCAACUGACGACUCCAUCCAGCGCCAGAUUGUUCGAUCUAUGGCACUAUCGCCGUAUAAGAUCGUCGGUUCAGUCCACUUCUUGAUCUUACCAAUGGUUUGAUUCCACCAUCUUCUAUCCAUGAGGGUGAACACAACAUAUAACCACUAAGUAAAAAUUCAACGCAGGGAAAGUAUUGACUUGGCCAGUGUACUUCCCCAUCUAUGUGACUCAAUAGCGAGUCUUCAACUCAACAAAAUGCAUCAUGCAAAAGUCUAGUUCCUUUCAAACGUAACGUAGAUUAUAAGAAAGUCUUUCCCAAAAGCAUCAACGGGGUCUACAUCUUCAGUCUAGUAGUUUCAUCGCAAAGGUAGUUCUAUUACGACAUAAGUGGUUCGAAAUAUAAUUACAGACAACUAACAAACAAGUUCAAAACAAAUGGUUCCAAAAAGUCCUCGUUCGAAUUCCACCAAUUCCUAGCUAGUUCCUUGCUCCGGCGGCUCUGUCCGCAUUCAAAUUGUAUACCCUUCCUCCAGUCGCAGGACGUUUCCCCCUUGCUGUGUUCACCGACGGUUCAGCCUUUGGCAUCUCGCAAUCCUUAGCUUGAUGGCCUGGUUGGUGGCACCUAAAGCAUCGCGUACUCCUGUUCUUGCACUUAUCAGCAAAAUGUCCAGCCUCCCCGCAUGCGAAACACACCACCUCACGCUUCAGAACUUGUCCUCUCUCUUCCCCCAAUGCAGUCACCAUCGGCUCGUGUUGUCCUGGUGCAGAAUUGUCCCCUGCAUAACGGUGAUAUGGCUUCCCCUGUCGUAACUUUCCCUUUUCUUGUUGAUUCUGCAAGUUCAACCUCAUUGGUCCCCCAGUACGUGCGCUGCUAGCCCUCUUGUUCUUCAUGAUUUCCACUUCCGUGGCUUUCUCAACCAAAGACUGGAAGCGCAUGAUUCCCAACGGUUUCACCGAGUCCUCAAUGUCAGGCCUCAGCCCAUUCACAAAGCGUUUGCACAUGUAUGGUUCAUCAACCCCAUUGCGGAAGAAUCGGAAGUGUUUGGCCAACGAUUCCAGCUUAGCGGCAUAUUCCGGAAUAGACAUGCUCCCCUGACGAAGAGUCAGAAACUGUGCCUCACGCUCGUCACGAGCACUAUCUGGAAAGUACUUCUCCAAAAAAGCAGCACGAAAUGAAGCCCAGUUCACUUCCACAUUAUUCGCUUCCAUCAUUCCUCUGGCGCCCCUCCACCAGUAUUCAGCAUCUCCCAGCAGCAGAAAGGUUACCAUGCCCACCUUGGCACCCUCAGCAAUUUGCAACACGCCAAAUAUCUUCUCAAUUUCCUGGAUCCAGAGAUCCGCUUUGUCCGGGUCAGUACCACCCGAGAACUUUGGUGGGUCUUGCCUCCUGAAGUCAUUCAGGCCUUUGUUCUGGUCCAGUGUCACUUCCCUCUGACGUUGAUGCUGAUCGCGUGCCUCCUUAGCAGCACGCCUCAUAGCAUUAUCGUUCGCCUGUGCAGUCACAGUUUGGGCCAUAGUGGCCAUCAUCUCAGCUAAUUGGUUAGCGUUCACCAUGUUCUGUUAAGUCGAUCAAACAGUUAGUACUCAUCAUAAGAUAGCAUCUAACAUAACUAUGCAAUAUGAUUAAGCAAUAACUUCAAUCAAUUCUAAGUGAAAAAUCGCUUGCAGACAAUCAAUUUUUACUCUUUACAGAGUCACACAACCUAGCACAGAAGACCUAUUCCCCAACAAGCUCUGGUAAUCUCAACCGGAGCUCUGAUACCACAAUGUAACACCCCAACUUUCGGGAGUCACAAUUAGUAACCUAUUAAAUAAAAUUAAAUGACUUUCCAAAAAGGAUUUAAUAAAAGCGAGUAUUUUUUUUUCGUUUGCUUUCUUCUCAAAACAUUUCCAAAACCAAAUAUGCAUACUCUUACCCAAACCCUUACAUCCGGCCUUGUCAAGGCAAGCACCCGUGAGUGACGACGGAUGUUCAAGACAUAUAAAAUAUAC
rnacentral:lncRNA from 1 species